UACGUAGGGGGCAAGCGUUGUCCGGAUUUACUGGGCGUAAAGAGCGUGUAGGCGGCCAUGCAGGUCCGUUGUGAAAACUGGAGGCUCAACCUCCAGACGUCGACGGAAACCGUGUGGCUAGAGUCCGGAAGAGGAGAGUGGAAUUCCUGGUGUAGCGGUGAAAUGCGCAGAUAUCAGGAAGAACACCAAUGGCGAAGGCAGCUCUCUGGGACGGUACUGACGCUGAGACGCGAAAGCGUGGGGAGCGAACAGG
rnacentral:rRNA from 1 species